GAUGAACGCUGGCGGCGUGCCUAAUACAUGCAAGUCGAGCGAAUGGAUUAAGAGCUUGCUCUUAUGAAGUUAGCGGCGGACGGGUGAGUAACACGUGGGUAACCUGCCCAUAAGACUGGGAUAACUCCGGGAAACCGGGGCUAAUACCGGAUAACAUUUUGAACCGCAUGGUUCGAAAUUGAAGGGCGGCUUCGGAUGUCACUUAUGGAUGGACCCGCGUCGCAUUAGCUAGUUGGUGAGGUAACGGCUCACCAAGGCAACGAUGCGUAGCCGAUCUGAGAGGGUGAUCGGCCACACUGGGACUGAGACACGGCCAGACUCCUACGGGAGGCAGCAGUAGGGAAUCUUCCGCAAUGGACGAAAGUCUGACGGAGCAACGCCGCGUGAGUGAUGAAGGCUUUCGGGUCGUAAAACUCUGUUGUUAGGGAAGAACAAGUGCUAGUUGAAUAAGCUGGCACCUUGACGGUACCUAACCAGAAAGCCACGGCUAACUACGUGCCAGCAGCCGCCGUAA
rnacentral:rRNA from 1 species